rnacentral:rRNA from 1 species
UUGUUGGAGAGUUUGAUCCUGGCUCAGGACGAACGCUGGCGGCGUGCUUAACACAUGCAAGUCGAACGGUGAUCUCAAUGCUUUUGGUGUUGGGUGAUGAGUGGCGAACGGGUGAGUAACACGUGGGUAACCUGCCCUGGACUUCGGGAUAACUUUCGGAAACGGGAGCUAAUACCGGGUAUGAUGCUCCGCCGCAUGGUGGGGUAUGGAAAGAUUUGUUUUGGUCUGGGAUGGGCCCGCGGCCUAUCAGCUUGUUGGUGGGGUGAUGGCCUACCAAGGCGGUGACGGGUAGCCGGCCUGAGAGGGCGACCGGCCACACUGGGACUGAGAUACGGCCCAG